rnacentral:rRNA from 1 species
GAUGAACGCUGGCGGCGUGCCUAAUACAUGCAAGUCGAGCGAACGGACGAGAAGCUUGCUUCUCUGAUGUUAGCGGCGGACGGGUGAGUAACACGUGGAUAACCUACCUAUAAGACUGGGAUAACUUCGGGAAACCGGAGCUAAUACCGGAUAAUAUUUUGAACCGCAUGGUUCAAAAGUGAAAGACGGUCUUGCUGUCACUUAUAGAUGGAUCCGCGCUGCAUUAGCUAGUUGGUAAGGUAACGGCUUACCAAGGCAACGAUGCAUAGCCGACCUGAGAGGGUGAUCGGCCACACUGGAACUGAGACACGGCCCAGACUCCUACGGGAGGCAGCAGUAGGGAAUCUUCCGCAAUGGGCGAAAGCCUGACGGAGCAACGCCGCGUGAGUGAUGAAGGUCUUCGGAUCGUAAAACUCUGUUAUUAGGGAAGAACAUAUGUGUAAGUAACUGUGCACAUCUUGACGGUACCUAAUCAGAAAGCCACGGCUAACUAC